rnacentral:lncRNA from 1 species
GGCCCCGCCUCCGGCUCUCCGGCCGGCAGGUUGGCUGUCCUGGCCUGACCCUGGGAGACUCCGCUGGGGCCGCCUGUUAUGGUGCUAGCUGCCGUCCCGGUGCGUACUUUCCCAAGGUGAAUUUGACCUUCUUUGCGACAGCUAGGCCCUGACUAAGGUCGACCCACCAAACACUGGAUCGUCCCCAGGCGAAAGAGAGCUUGUUCCCCUCAGCCUGUCGCGGAGGAGCGGAGCCAAUCGAGGGUCUGGUGUCCCCGUCGCCUCUCCAGGGGCAACCUGCGGACUAGGCCAAGGUCUGUAACAGGAUAACGUACCAGCGCCUGGCCCAGGCGUUCCUGCCGCCACCUCCCCGCAUAUCCGGACCGCCGGGACUGCACGCAGCUGGCAAGCGUCCCCCUGUUAACUCUGCAAGGGUGGGGCGGCACCAUUUCUCAGACCAGGUAAGGCAAGAAAACAUGCAAGAGAGAAGAGAGGGAAGCCUAGGCCAAUCGGAAUGAAAAUGUAAACGCCACAACCACGUUUUCAGCUUUACAAAUACUGAAUCUUGUAGUGGGUCUAGUGGGUUAGGGGUUAGCAUGAGCACCCUAAUGGUUGGGAGACAGUUUCAGGGGACUCUUGCAUUUGUGAAGAUGAUCAGUCACAGGCAAUGACUUGAAGCCACGAGGCUUGAAUAUUAAAAUCUGAUGAGCAGAUGUUACACGUAGAAUAAUUACAUAAUAGUUCUCAAAUUCCUGUUAUAUCCAGGAAUAUCUGGUAUGAGUGAAAACUUGGAGGUGCCUUCUCUAAAGUCAUCAGGAAUUCUGAGUUGUGUUUGUAAAAAUAGGAGGCACAAGAGGGCACCAAACUGAACAAAAUGUUAGGUGGAAACUGAAAAACGUUGGUUAGCAUGAACAAUUUCAGUUUUCAGUCACACUGACCAGUAUCUGUAAGUUAGGAUUGAGAUGGGCUUGUUUUAUUUAUUUACUUUUAAAUUUGUGCUGCUACAUAUCCCAAACAAAUGUGGUCUUUAUCAUCACUGGCAAGCCAUUUUACUUAUUGGUUAAGCUGGAAUUUUAUUACACCACCCCAGCAAGAUAGAGGAGAAAAGCGAAAAUUAAGUAGUAAAUGGUUAUUAUGCCUUAAGGGAAGGUGUGAACUGGCAAGACAAAAGAGCCAAAUUUAGUAGUAAAGCAUAGUCAUCAGCACACAGAAAAUAAGUGGUGAGGAGGAGUUUGGCCAGAAAAUUGGCUAAGAAAAAUGGCAGUAUGACCAAGAAUGAAAAGAAAAAGAAAGAAAAGAAAAACUGCAGUAUGAGGCCUGUAAAGAACGUAUUGGUACUUGCACUUCCUCUUAUUAGUGACAUUCAUUAUUACAAAUAUAACCCAAUUUAGAAUGUAAAAAUCUUGCUGGAGCUCGGUGCAGUGGCUCACACCUGGAAUCCCAGCACUUAUGGGAGGCCGAGGCAGGAGGAUUGCUUGAGCCCAGGAGUUGGAGACCAGCCUGGGCAACGUAGUGAAACCCCUUCUCUACAAAAAAUACAAAAAUUAGCUGGGCGUGGUGAUGCACACCUGUGGUCCCAGUUACUCAGAAGGCUGAGGUGGGAGAAUCAGUUGAGCCCAGGAGGUCGAGGCUGCAGUGAACCAUCAUGGCACCACUGCACUCCUAGCCUGGACAACAGAUUGUUGCCCUGUCUGAAAAAUAAAAAAAAAUUUCUGAACUAUGCCAGUGAUAAUCUGGUAAAUUAUAAAUGUUGUCUGACUUUUUUCUUUGGAAAAUGAAUUAAUUCAGUCCUAACCUUCUCUCUUAAUCACAGGUUGCAAUAAAUUACCAGAAACGACUGGUUCAUACCUUAUACACCUCCAGUGUAAAUGUUAAGAGUUUGUAUAUUCUUAACAGACUCUUAACAAACAUCAGUAAUUCUUUCCUAGGGAUAAGUGAAAAUGUACUAACAUUAAUUCUAUUAUAUAUAUGCAAAUAUCUAGAGGAAAUACUGUUUAUAAGUUACUAAUACAUGUAUCCAUGGUAGUAGGUCUUGAAAAGUUACUUUUGUUGCCUAUUGGACACCCUCUAUUCUCCCUUCCUUAAUAAAACAAAAAAAAGAACAAACAAAAUUCUGUAGCAUCACUUCUCAACCAAGCUUUCUGAUAGGAAGUCCUCAGUCCAAUCUCAUUUUUGGCCUACUGUGCAUUUCUUACUUAACUUGCAAACAGAUCAUUAACAAGGACCUCCAAAUUACAGUAAAUUACAGUACUAAGAUUUUACUUGAACUUUCUAAAGCAUUCGCCAUUUUAAAUUAUUUAACUUUUAUACUCCUCCUUCCCUUUUGUGCUGUUUCCUUCCUGGCGCUCCUAAAUAUCUGUCCAUUCUUUGGACCUCUUCCAAAUUUUCAGAUAAUUAUAAUAGUGUGCGAAUGAUGCAAAGGUAAUGUGCCGUGGGAGAGAACAGAAGAGAGAAACCUAAUUCUGGCCUCAUCACAUUAUUGUUUUUUUAAAUUUAAUAACUAUUUUAGAUGCUUCAGUAGAUUUACAGUGAGGGCAAAAGAAAACAGUUUUCUUUAGGAGUAUGGAGGGAUUAUAUAGGAUGUACAAUAAAUACCCUAAGUACUUCAAAUCAGUUCAGAUCUUUAAAAUCCUAUUUUUCCUUCAGUUCUCAACUUCAAUAUCACCUACUCUGGGAGUCAUUCCCUACCAUGCUUGUUUGUUUGUUUGUUUGUUUGUUUGUUUGUUUUGAGACAGAGUCUCACUCUGUUGCCCAAGCUGGAGUGCAGUGACACCAUCUCUGCUCACCGCAGCCUCUACCUCCCAGGUUCAAACGAUUCUCUUGUCUCAGCCUCCCUAGUAACUGGGAUUACAGGCACUUGCCACCACUCCCGGCUACUUUUCAUACUUUUAUUAGAUGGGGUUUCACCGUGUUGGCCAGGCUGGUCUCGAACUCCUGAUCUCAAGUGAUCCACCCGCUUCAGCCUCCCCCACAGUGCUGGGAUUACAGGAGUGAGCCACAGCACCUGGCCACAUGCUUGUAAUUUCUUUAGAUUCUCACAUUGUAUCUUUCAGUGUCAUCUAACAUGCUGACUAUAAGCUCCUUUUUAAAAGAUGUACUGUACCUGGUAUAUAAUGGUAUGCACUCAACAAACAUUUGACAGUACCCCACAACUUGUUCAGGCCCUCAAUUUAUACCUGAAUUGACCUCCUAUCCAUCUCCAUUAUUUACUCCAUCCAAGACCAGUCUAAUCAAAUCUCUUCCCUGCCUAACAACUUUCAUUGGUUUUGUUUUGUAUACUAGAUACAAUUUAAACUUUUUUUUUUUUGAGAUGGAGUCUCUCUCUGUCACCCAGGCUGGAGUUCAGUGGCGCGAUCUUGGCUCACUGCAAGCUCCACCGCCUGGGUUCACACCAUUCACCUGCCUCAGCCUCCCAAGUAGCUGGGACUACAGGCGCCUACCACCACGCCCGGCUAAUUUUUUGUAUUUUUUGUAGAGACGGGGUUUCACCAUGUUAGGCAGGAUGGUCUCGAUCUCCUGACCUCGUGAUCCGCCCGUCUUGGCCUCCCAAAGUGCUGGGAUUACAGGCAUGAGCCACUGUGCCCGGCCCUGGGCAUGGGUAAACUUCUUAACCUAGCAUGAAAGUCUCUCCAUGAUAAGGUAUCAACCCAUCUCUCCAGUGUAUCUCCCAGCACUUUUCUCCCCUUUAUAUGUGCUCUAUAUGAGUUUCCUCAUCCAGGAAUGUUCUUCCCCACUUGUUCACCUUUAAAGUCAUCCCUUAAAACACAGCUUGGAUGUUAGCAGCUUCUAACUUCUAGAGUUUCCACUCUUCUAUUAAGCUUUGCUCUGUAUCUCACAACUGUAAAUUUUUCUCUCCCCUCUUAGUCUGUGAAACUCUUAAGAUUAAGAACUAUGCAUUAUUAAUUUUUAAAUUCCUGGAACUUUAUGGAGAGCUUGGCAGUCAGCAAUUAAUACAAGAUUUGCUGUAUGUAAUACAUUCUGCAAAUUUUUAUAUUUAUAUUGAUGGUUGACUAGAAAGUUACUGUGGAAAAUUCCUGCCAUCAAAUAUCUCAUAGGCUUGUAAAGGGGACCAUUCAAAACAAUUGCAGUAACAAAGGCAGGGUGCAGUGGCUCACGCCUGUAAUACCAGCUGAGGUGGGCAGAUUGCUUGAGCUCAGGAAUUUGAGACCAGCCUGGACAACAUGGUGAAACCCUGUCUCUAGUAAAAAUACAAAAAUUAGCCAGGCAUGGUGGCGCCCAACUGUAGUCCCAGAUACUCAGGAGACUAAUGUGGGAGAAUCAAUUGAACCUGGGGACGGAGGUUGCCAUGAGCCAAGAUCAUGCCACUGCACUCCAGCCUGGGAGACAGAAUGAGACUCCAUCUCAAAAAAGAAGAAUAAUAAUAAUUGCAGGCUGGGUGCAGUGGCUCACGCCUCAUGCCUGUAAUCCCAACACUUUGGGAGGCUGAGGCGGGUGGAUCACCUGAGGUCAGGAGUUCGAGACCAGCCUGACCAACAUGGAGAAACCCCGUCUCUACUAAAAAUACAACAUUAGCCAGUGGCGCAUGCCUGUAAUCCCAGAUACUCAGUAGGCUGAGACAGGAGAAUCACUUGAACCCAGGAGGCGGAGGUCGCAGUGAGCCGAGAUCGCACCAUUGCAUUCCAGCCUGGGCAACAAGAGCGAAACUCCGUCUCAAAAAAAGAAAAAAAAAAUAAAUAUAAUUGCAGUAACAAAUUUAUAUGAUAUUAAUUCUUUACCAAAGUACAUUCAGUUUAUUGGGAAGAUCAUGGUAAACAUCUUAAUUUUGUCAACUCUGCCUGAGGCAUUCAGCACAUGUAUUAAAUAUUUCUCAAACAACUUAGUGUCAUUACCCUAAUUUUCUUUUAGGCAAUGUUCAAACAACCAGCAACCACAAUUCACAUAAUUUGGCUUUAUUCAAAGUAUGAGGCACAAUUAUUGUUCAUUUUUAAAAGGGUUAAAAAGAUGUACGUUUUGGACUUUGUUUUUAAAACCAUAACUAAUUUGGUGUAUAUGAUUAUGUACUAUUUAGAGGCUGCUGGCACUAUGAUGAUUAAGUUAAUGUUUUCAGUACUGCUUAUAGACCUGAAAGCUGCCCUUCUCAGCUGGUUUGUGGGUACUCAAACAUACUAAUAAUGAUGAUGGCUAACUUAGGAAUGACCAUCUUCAAAGCUAGUGAUGACUUGAUGAGCUCAUAAGCAACACUGUUUCCAAUGCUGCAGCAACAUAGUCAAGAAAACACUUCUAGAAUGCUUAAUUUCCUGAAAGAUUUAAACCAAUAGAUUAAGACAAAACAUUUGUAGUCAUUUUUCAGAUUGAAAGAGAUAUCUUUUUGCAUCAUGUUUUAUUAGGUUCUUGUCUUUCAUUAUUUUGAAGAGCUGCCUAGCAAAGUGUCCAAAAAUAGAGCUGGCACUGUUUAUAAAAUGCCUUAAGGCAGAAGUUAAUCAGUCAUGUAGACACAGAUACAGAACUGAUUCAAAUGUCAAGUGGUAGUUGGACUUCAGGUGGUGACUUUCUAACUUUUACUGUGAUCCACAUUAAGAAAUACAGUUUCACAUUGUGACCUGGUAUACAUACACAGGAAAAAGUACUUGCUGCUUGUGAUAUACUCUGAUACCUUCUAUUGUUUUUUUUUCCUCUUGCUAGUCUUACACAUUACAUCGAUUUUACUAUCAUCCAAUGGUUUCAGAGAUAUUAGAUUCAAUGACUUAGGCCCCAAACCUUGAGAUUCUUUGUUCCUGAUUUUUCUGUCAGUGCCUUCCUAUUUCUGUCAGUGCCUCAGUAGUGUUUAUAAAUAAAUGCUUCUUUUUUUUUUUU